UGGGGAAUCUUGGACAAUGGGGGCAACCCUGAUCCAGCGACGCCGCGUGGGUGGUAAGGCCUUCGGGUUGUAAAGCCCUUUCACCGGGGAAGAUGAUGACAUUACCCGGAGAAGAAGCGCCGGCUAACUUCGUGCCAGCAGCCGCGGUAAUACGAAGGGGGCUAGCGUUGUUCGGAAUUACUGGGCGUAAAGCGCGCGUAGGCGGAUUGAUCAGUCAGGGGUGAAAUCCCGGGGCUCAACCCCGGAACUGCCUUUGAUACUGUCAAUCUAGAGAUCGAGAGAGGUGAGUGGAAUUCCGAGUGUAGAGGUGAAAUUCGUAGAUAUUCGGAGGAACACCAGUGGCGAAGGCGGCUCACUGGCUCGAUACUGACGCUGAGGUGCGAAAGCGUGGGGAGCAAACAGGAUUAGAUACCCCUGUAGUCC
rnacentral:rRNA from 1 species